UAAAACCGGAAAAUAAGCGGAUUCGGUAGUCAUUUACGUACGAUACACGUUGGGUACUUCGCUCAUUUUGUUCCGAGUUUAGUUGAUUUCCAUUCAGUGCGUUUUGUGUACACACGAGACAGAAUCAGAUGAUGCAUUCCCACGAGAAUUUCAAAAUGUUCGGACAUCAUCAGAACGAACAGAGUAACGGAUCGGUAGUGUUGGAUAUUAUUCCGCCGCAUUAUGUUAACGGGAGUUUACAUCACGGACAACCCAGUCCGCCCCAGUCGCCCGGUACACCACCCAGUAAUUAUCGAAACGACGCUUCAAGUCCGAUUACUAACGGGGAAUUGAACCAAUCCACCCCGACAAGUCCCAGUUCGAACGAUCCGAAUAUUCGUCGUUACAGGACCGCGUUUACCCGGGAACAACUCGCCCGUCUGGAAAAGGAGUUUUUCAAGGAAAACUACGUUUCCAGACCGAGGAGGGUCGAGCUUGCCACCCAGUUGAAUUUGCCUGAAAGUACCAUUAAGGUCUGGUUCCAAAACAGACGAAUGAAGGACAAGAGACAACGUAUGGCGAUCGCGUGGCCAUACGCCGCCGUUUACAGUGACCCAAUCUUCGCCGCCUCUUUGCUACAAGCAGCCGCCUCCACCGUUCACUAUCCACCGGCUACCGCCAUGUAUCCCCCUCACUACCCGCGGUACAACCCUUAUCCGACUUUUGGGGUGCACCAUCAUUCGGCCAUACCGAACCCGAACCUGCUCCAUCCCGCCGCCCCCUCGGUCGGUUUCAACCCUGCCGCCCCCACCGGAUUAACGGGGGUUUUACCCCAUCAGAACCAACUGCAACAAGGUCUGAACAUCAAUUUGAACUUUGGAGAUAUGCCGCAGUAUCAGCCGUCAUCGCAUCAAAAGAUUUCGCCGACUGACUCGCAUCGCUCGGAGAUCAGUUUGAGUCCACCGGUGAUGGACGGUUUGAUGAUGUCCGCGGCCAAAUUGCCUUCGGGGGGUUUAAAUCAGACGCAGUUGUCCCAAUCGGAGAAACCUAAACUGUUUAAACCCUACAAGUCGGAAGUUUAACUGUUUUAUUUAUUGGUUUUAUUGCGUAAAUGUUCACUAGAUAUGCCAAAGAUGUUGAAGUAGUGGCGGGAGGGGUUUGUUUUGCUGACUGAACUUGCUUAUAUAUAUAGCUGUUAGUUGUAAAUACUCGUGUGUAUGUCCAGGUGUAUAAUUUAAUAAAGACUCACCUUCCCUUUUAAAGGAUUUGUAUAUAUAAAUGUAUAAUAUAUAGAUAGUGAUUUAUUUUUAUUUAUUAUAACUAAUGUACAGUACAUACGACACCUAUUUGUUGUUAAUAUAUAUAUAUACGUCUUUUAGUUUAAAUAAAAGGAGUAUUUG
rnacentral:misc_RNA from 1 species